AGUUUGGAUGUGUUUCAGCAACAGUCUUAUUUGGGAAUACAUGUGAAACAUUGUGUGAUCUUUCAUGCUUCUGUCCUCUCCUCAGAGAUCCUGGUAUGGUGCCUCGUAACAAUGAUACUAGAAAUGGUCAGACUCCACAACAAUUGCGCUUACCACGAACGAAGGAUGUUAUUGUAAAUGGAACCGUUGUAAAGCAUAAUUAUCGUUUAUUAUAUAUGUUUGUAUUCUCGACCACACUACUAUGCCUCUACGUGUCUGGGUUCUGCUGGGUGUACAUAAUUAAGAUCAAAGAUGCAGAGGAUUCAU